AUCCAGAUGACUAGUUUCAAAUAGGACGAAAUGCGCGUCCUGGAU
rnacentral:hammerhead_ribozyme from 1 species